CUUACAUCUAGCCUAAAUCUACCCUCUUUUAGUUUAAAACCUUACACCUUGUCCUGUCAAUACAUGCUCUGGUAAAAAGUCUGUCCCGAUCUUUUUGAUAAGCCCCCAUUGCUGGGAGCUCGUCUUUCUGGCAAUGACCUGACCACUCGUUGGCUUUCUUUCCCCCAGCCCCUCCAUUACAAACUCUUGGGCUUUAGCUCAGUGGUUUAGGAAGAGCCAGCAGAAUGAACUGGCAGAUGAAAUUAUUGCAGUCAGUGCCGAGGAGCAGAAAGAGGAAUUACACCUCUGUGCCUCCUGCCUUUGUCAGCCGCUGGUUUGGAAGGAAGGGAGGCAGAACAAGGACACCACGCAUCCACUGUGCUCCCCUGCCCUCUGUCCCUGGAGGGAAUGACAGCCUUGCUUUUAACAUCUAUAGUCUUCGCUGUCGAACAGUGUGCAAAUAUUGCACAGCUCCACAGGCUUGACAGGCUGUCGGGCCGCAGAGUGACUCUGUGGGCAUCGGCUGAGGGGUGCCCGGCCGGCCCAUCCUCUGCCCGGGGCCCUCCCGUGACUCCGGGAAAUGGCCGAGCCGCACUCAGUGCCGCAAACCUGCCCCACAGGGCAUCCCCCGCGCUGGGCUGUCCUCCAGAGCUCUGCAGGACCCGUCUGCAGAGCUGUGCUUCAGUGUAGCAGCCCAGGAGCGCUGCUCCUGCUGCAUGUCCCCGAAGAUGUCAAUGUCCUCCCCCCAGCUCCGGGAGAUGCUUCAUCAACCAGAAGCCCACCAGGCCCAGAGAACAGCAACCUCGACCAUCAGUGCCCAGAAAGCAACAAGAAGCCCUUGGGGCAGUCCACAAUAUUAUAUGAUUACUCAGAGGAGGAGCUCAUGGCAAGCAUCGAGCGGGAGUACUGCCGCUGA
rnacentral:lncRNA from 1 species